rnacentral:rRNA from 1 species
ACUCUUAGCAGGUGAACAUUUGGAAACAGAUGCUAAUACCGUAUAACAAUGACAACCGCAUGGUUGUUAUUUAAAAGAUGGUUCUGCUAUCACUAAGAGAUGGUCCCGCGGUGCAUUAGCUAGUUGGUAAGGUAAUGGCUUACCAAGGCGAUGAUGCAUAGCCGAGUUGAGAGACUGAUCCUCCUCAAAUGGGACUGAGACACGGCCCAUACUCCUACGGGAGGCAGCAGUAGGGAAUCUUCCACAAUGGGCGAAAGCCUGAUGGAGCAACGCCGCGUGUGUGAUGAAGGGUUUCGGCUCGUAAAACACUGUUGUAAGAAAAGAAUGACGUUGAGUGUAACUGUUCCUUGUGUGUCGGUCUCUUACUCUCCAGGUACGGCUCGAAGA